GAGGGUAGGCCCCUCGAGAUCGACUUUCAGGAGUAGGUCUCAAAUCACUUCAAGCGGCUUCGCUUAAGAGGCGUGGUCGUGAGCGUUGAAGCUAACGGUCGGGGGUACCCGAACGGA
rfam:Bradyrhizobium sp. NAS80.1 Bradyrhizobium_NAS_80.1_c343, whole genome shotgun sequence.